AUUGAACGCUGGCGGCAUGCCUAACACAUGCAAGUCGAACGAGUUGCGGACGGGUGAGUAAUGUCUGGGAAACUGCCUGAUGGAGGGGGAUAACUACUGGAAACGGUAGCUAAUACCGCAUACCAUCGGUUGUCCCCAGAUGGGAUUUGCUAGUCGGUGGGGUAACGGGUCGCCUAGGCGACGAUCCCUAGCUGGUCUGAGAGGAUGAUCAGCCAGCCUGGAAUGGAGACACGGUCCAGCAUCCGACGAUAGGCAGCAGUGGGGAAUAUUGCACAAUGGGCGCAAGCCUGAUGCAGACGUGCAGCGUGUAUGAAGAAGGCCUUAGGGUUGUAAAGUACUUUUGGCAUGGAAGCGGUAUCUGCAGAAGAAGCACCGGCUAACUACGUGCCAGCAGCCGCGGUAAUAC
rnacentral:rRNA from 1 species